CUACGGGAGGCAGCAGUGAGGAAUAUUGGACAAUGGAUGGAAAUCUGAUCCAGCCAUGCCGCGUGCAGGAAGACAGCCCUAUGGGUUGUAAACUGCUUUUAUAUGGGAGCAAUAAGGUCUACGUGUAGACUGAUGAGAGUACCAUAUGAAUAACAUCGGCUGACUCCGUGCCAGCAGCCGCUGUAAUAAGCGUGAUUCGC
rnacentral:rRNA from 1 species